ACUCAAAUGAAUUGACGGGGACCCGCACAAGCGGUGGAGCAUGUGGAUUAAUUCGAUACUAACCGAAGAACCUUACCCACUCUUGACAUUGAAGGCAAGACGUAGAGAUACGUCCCCCUCCCACAAGGAGGCCUGAAAACAGAUGUUGCAUGGCUGUCGUCAGCUCGUGCCGUGAGGUGUACGGUUAAGUCCGCCAACGAGCGCAACCCUCGUCUUGUGUUACCAGCACGUAAUGGUGGGCACUCACAAGAGACCGCCGGUGUAAGCCGGAGGAAGGUGGGGAUGAUGUCAAGUCAGCAUGGCUCUUACGAGUGGGGCUUCACACAUGCUACAAUGGGCGCAACAAAGGGCCGCUAAGCCGCGAGGUGGAGCUAAUCCCAAAAAUACGUCCUCAGUUCAGAUUGCAGUCUGCAACUCGACUGCAUGAAGGCGGAAUCGCUAGUAAACGCAGGUCAGCUAUACUGCGUUGAAUACGUUCCCGGGUCUUGUACACACCGCCCGU
rnacentral:rRNA from 1 species